CCUUAAUUUUUUUUUUAAUAGUACUGUUAAAAGAAGUGUUAAAAUUAACAAAAUUGCCAUGUCAGCGCUUACUUGGCUUACUUGGCUUGGCUUUUUUUUUUUAUUUGUAAACUAGUAUUUGACCCGUGCGAUGCACGGAUAAUAUAAUAAUAUAAAAUAACAAAAGUUAUUAUGUAAUGAUAAAAAAAAUAUUCUAAUUAAUAUUAUAUUUUUUUAACAAAUAAAGAAAUAUACUAUCAAUCUUAAUUAUAGUACAUAUUAAAGUACAAAAGGUAGAGAAAAAAAAUUAUGGACCAAAGUAAAUACUCAAGUAAAAAGCAAAAUUCAACCCUAGUCUAUUAUCUAUGAAUUGGUGUGUAAAACAAUUUACAAUUACAUAUUGAUGUGCAAAACAAAAUGAUAACUAAAAUUGAUAUGAAAAAUUAUAAAUGACAUUAAUAUUUAAGCAUAUAAUGAGAUCAACUAAACUUUCAUAUUUGACACAAAUUAGAGUAAGCACACAUAUAUGAGAGACAUACAAACUUUUAAGAUUCAAAAAUAUAUAGAUGUUGGUCUUCAAGAAAAUAUAAAGAAAAAAAAAACUUUGUUGCAUGAAGAUGGAAAGUACCUGCUCCAAUAACAAUAUAGAUAAAUUGUUAGAUAAAUGAAAUGAUAAAUAUCAUAAUAUUAGUGAAUUUUUUCAAAAAAAUAUCUAAAUUUAUUUUUUUUAAAAAAAUGACAGAGUUGAAUUGUUGAAAAAUUGUAAAUUUUGAAAUAACAUGAAGAAAAAUAAACUGCUCACCUAUUUUAAGUUCUGAAACACUUUUUUAAAAACCACAUUGCUUGUGGUUGUGAAUAACUGUAAUAUACCGAAAAUUCGGAAAAUAAAUAUCGAACUUUAGUCAAAUUGACCAAAGUGAGAGGAUGGUACACUUCGGAAAGUCCG
rnacentral:lncRNA from 1 species